rnacentral:rRNA from 1 species
UACGUAGGGACCAAGCGUUGUUCGGAUUUACUGGGCGUAAAGGGCGCGUAGGCGGCUUAACAAGUCACUUGUGAAAUCUCCGGGCUUAACUCGGAACGGCCAAGUGAAACUGUCAAGCUAGAGUGCAGAAGGGGCAAUCGGAAUUCUUGGUGUAGCGGUGAGAUGCGUAGAUAUCAAGAGGAACACCUGAGGUGAAGACGGGUUGCUGGGCUGACACUGACGCUGAGGCGCGAAAGCCAGGGGAGCAAACGGG